rnacentral:rRNA from 1 species
UACGGAGGGUGCAAGCGUUGUUCGGAAUCACUGGGCGUAAAGAGCGUGUAGGCGGCGAGGUAAGUCGGAUGUGAAAGCCCCGGGCUCAACUCGGGAAUUGCAUCCGAAACUUCCUCGCUAGAGUCCCGGAGAGGAAGGCAGAAUUCCCAAUGUAGGGGUGAAAUCCGUAGAUAUUGGGAGGAAUACCGGUGGCGAAGGCGGCCUUCUGGACGGUGACUGACGCUGAGACGCGAAAGCGUGGGGAGCAAACAGG